AGUUAUUGAACUUGUUAUAAGUAUAUAUUUUGAAAAUAUAAAAAAGAAGAAUAAACUUCUAAUAACUU
rnacentral:tRNA from 1 species